AGAGUUUGAUCCUGGCUCAGGACGAACGCUGGCGGCGUGCUUAACACAUGCAAGUCGAACGAUGAAGCCCAGCUUGCUGGGUGGAUUAGUGGCGAACGGGUGAGUAACACGUGGGUGAUCUGCCCUGCACUCUGGGAUAAGCCUGGGAAACUGGGUCUAAUACCGGAUAUGACCUCGGGAUGCAUGUCCUGGGGUGGAAAGUUUUUCGGUGCAGGAUGAGCCCGCGGCCUAUCAGCUUGUUGGUGGGGUAAUGGCCUACCAAGGCGACGACGGGUAGCCGGCCUGAGAGGGCGACCGGCCACACUGGGACUGAGACACGGCCCAGACUCCUACGGGAGGCAGCAGUGGGGAAUAUUGCACAAUGGGCGCAAGCCUGAUGCAGCGACGCCGCGUGAGGGAUGACGGCCUUCGGGUUGUAAACCUCUUUCACCCAUGACGAAGCGCAAGUGACGGUAGUGGGAGAAGAAGCACCGGCCAACUACGUGCCAGCAGCCGCGGUAAUACGUAGGGUGCGAGCGUUGUCCGGAAUUACUGGGCGUAAAGAGCUCGUAGGCGGUUUGUCGCGUCGUCUGUGAAAUCCCGCAGCUCAACUGCGGGCUUGCAGGCGAUACGGGCAGACUCGAGUACUGCAGGGGAGACUGGAAUUCCUGGUGUAGCGGUGAAAUGCGCAGAUAUCAGGAGGAACACCGGUGGCGAAGGCGGGUCUCUGGGCAGUAACUGACGCUGAGGAGCGAAAGCGUGGGUAGCGAACCGGAUUAGAUACCCUGGUAGUCCACGCCGUAAACGGUGGGCGCUAGGUGUGGGUUUCCUUCCACGGGAUCCGUGCCGUAGCCAACGCAUUAAGCGCCCCGCCUGGGGAGUACGGCCGCAAGGCUAAAACUCAAAGGAAUUGACGG
rnacentral:rRNA from 1 species